rfam:Gaeumannomyces graminis var. tritici R3-111a-1 unplaced genomic scaffold supercont2.2, whole genome shotgun sequence.
CUCAUUUGCGCCACGCCUCCCCUACAGUCAUCCGUCUCCGCGUUGUGGCCGUCUCGGCGGACAUGUGCUUCGUGCCCUCCCCGCCCGGGCUCGGCAAACCUGCCACGGCAAACCGUCGCAUCUUCGCUCCCGUAUCGGGUACCGUGCAAUGAUCGCCGCGUGUGGUUUCUUUUUGCUUUGCCGUGGCACUCGCCUUCGCGCGACCGGCCCGAGCGGGGGGAACAGGAUUCGGAACUUAACCCUAAGUUUGAUCGUGGAAAUCAUCUCCAAAAAGGUUUGCGUCUCGCGGGUCCGCUCGCCCCCCCUUUUAUGCCCGAGUCUCGUUUCAUGCGACUGCUCUUAUGUGCUCUCUGGCCUGCUGCCCUCACGGGCGGCGGGUAGGAAAGUGCGGGGGCUGAGCGUGGCGAGCGAGGUGCGGACCGGCCUCGGGGGCGGCAUCCAGGCACCCCCUCCCGUUCCGCCCGCGGGGGGACAAGGUGGGCAAUCGGCAAGGCUAGAGUCUGUUCGGUAAGACCCUCUGGCCUGAGGGCGCUCUUCAGCCUUGUCACCUGGAACCAGUCACUCCGGUCAUUCUGGAUCUCGGAGGAUGCUGGGAGACACUUUGAGCAUUUGGUUGGGGAGAUGUCACGAGGGGCCAACCCCCACGGACAUGACGCCGAGCUUCCCUCCGAGGAAGCCCGUCGUCCUGCGGCGACAGAGGGAGGGCGCAAUGAUGGCUCACCACGAUCAGCUUCGCCGCCUUCACUUCUGUCCUCGAUUCACCUCGCCGGAAUCGCUCGAGCCGACUUCUGUCGCUCUUGUGAGCGGGGAUCUAUGGGCCAUAUACGGAAGCCGGUGAAGCUGAUUAUUCCUGCCUCGUUGUCACGCCCUCUGCACCCUCUUCGCCCAGUCAUGUCACCCUCUUACGGCCUUCCUCGUGGCAUCCAACCCUUUCCAAGCUCCGCUCCCCGGCUCCCGAGACGUAUCGUCUUCUCGAUGCGCCAUGCCCAGCAUGGGGUCCCGGCCAGACGCAUUAAUCACCCGCUGUGGGCUCCGGUCCCACGGCGGACAGAACGCCACAACCACAGCCUCCUUCCCUUCCCUUCGGAAGGGCAACGAGUGUUCUGUUUGUCCGCCUCUGCCGUGUUCCUUUUUUUCGACGCGCGGCUGGAAACGGCCGCCGACGAAUUGAGACCAGAAGCAAGCGGAUUUUUCCGGGGACUUUUUGUGGAUGUAUUUCACCCCCGUCCGGUCUCGCGAGGCGCCCUGCGUCUCGCUUGUUCGUGGACCCAAACGAAAAACUAGUCCCUGUUGGCAGCGCCUUUUUUUCAAAAGCAACACGGAGAGAGCAUAACUGUGGUUCGGGUUCCUGUCUUCCACGACUUCGGCGCUGCGGGCGGAGCUCUUCGGCCACGGCCGCGCUACCGCUGGUGCUUGGAGCGCAUAUUGUGGGCGGUUUGGCAGCACCCGGAGAUCUACGGCGGGUGCAGGCGUAAGGCUCUGCCAGUGUUGACCAAGGCGCUUUGCAGCAAUACGAAAACCCAGCCAGAAAUCAGCCACCAUCGAGACGCCCCCACACCUUGGAUGAACUGUCCGUUGACCGGAUGCGCUCUCUCGUGGUUCCGGGACCCAUCUAGAGUUGGAGUCAAAGCUUCGCGCUUGUCCGGAACCCGCUGACGGGACAUGGCGGCCGUUCGUCCAGGGCCAGGGGAAACGCUCGAGCGGCUUGGGCAGCUGGCAGGAAGACAUGGGCGCGCUAGUGGCAUGGCGGCCCAGGUUGCCCUCCCUUCAGCAAUGACGGGAGGGCAACCCCCCUGUUUCGUGG